CUGCGAGACAGACCACGCCCUUCUCUGUGCUCCUCCAUGGCAUGGCCACCCACUGCGUCAAUCUCUCCAAAUUCUUCAAGAUCACAUGGGUCCGGCACCAAUCGAAGCAAAAUCGCAUCAAGUCCUUCACCUCCUCAGCUCCGACGAGUGAGGUUGGGCAGCUCGAGGGCCUCACCGUGCUCAUGCACAACACCUGUUCGCUGAAAUGUCUCAGAGCGCUCCACGCGCGGCUCGCCGUCACGGGAUCGAUCCGGGACAACUCUGUCGUCACGGGCCUCGUCGAGAGGUACCUUUCUUUAGGGAAGCCUGCGCCCGCGGCAUCCCUUUUCGCCGAAGCCUACCACAGCCGCCCCACGGUGUAUUCGCUGAAUCUCGCCGUCCGGUGCUUCUCGGACCAUGGGUUCCACCGAGAGCUUCUUGAUCUUUACAGGGAGCUGUGUGGCAUUGGGUCCGACAACUUCACUUUCCCGCCGGUCAUCAAGGCUUGCACGACUGUGUCUUGCCUUCGAAUGGGGAGGGAGGUGCAUUGUAGGGUUCUGCGGACAGGGCAUGGGGGUAAUGUUGGUGUGCAGACUGCGCUCCUUGAUUUGUACGCUAAGGCUGGCCAGAUUGAUGUGUCAAGGAGAGUCUUUGAUGGCAUGGUGGAGAGGGACUUGAUUUCUUGGAACGCUAUGGUCUCAGGGUACUCGCUCAAUGGAUGCUUCCAAGAAGCUGUUGAGGCGUUGCACGAGAUGCAGCAGGGUGGCAUGAGAUUGAAUGCAAGCACACUUGUUGGUAUCAUUGGUAUGUGCGGCGGUGUCGAAGCAAAGGAUGUUGGUAGUUCGCUCCACGCAUUGGCAAUGAAAUAUGGGGUGAUAGCUGAUGAGUCCCUUACAUCUGCGUUCAUCUCAAUGUAUUCUGCAUUUGACGAUCUUUCCUCAUCUCGAUUGGUUUUUGAUAUGCAACCUAUGAAAGAUUUGGUAUCUUUCAAUUCCAUGAUAUCAGCGUACAUGCAGCACAGCAACUGGAAGGAAGCUUUUGAGGUCUUCAGAUUGAUGCAUUGUGCAGGCCUAGGACCUAAUCUAGUCACUGUGGUUUCUGUCCUUCCAUCUUGCAAUGAUUUCUUUGGUAUAUACCAAGGCGAGUCUGUGCAUGGUAUGAUUAUCAAGUUUGGCCUUUCAGAGCAGGUUUCUGUUGUCAGUGCUCUUGUUUCCAUGUAUUCUAAGCUUGGGAAAUUGGAUUCAGCUAUACUACUAUUCUGUUGCUUCACCGAGAAGAACAAUCUCAUGUGGAACUCUAUGAUUUCUGGAUACCUUGUGAACAAUGAAUGGAACAUGGCUCUUGAUGCGUUCUGCAAGAUGCAGAUCGAGGGUGUGGCUCCAGAUGCAACAGGUAUCAUUAAUGUGAUCUCUGGAUGUAGACACACAAAAGAUUUGCACGUGGCGAAGUCAAUACAUGCAUAUGCUGUUAGGAAUAGAUUUGAAUCAAACCAGAGUGUAAUGAAUGCACUCCUAGCUAUGUAUGCCGACUGCGGAGAUAUAUCAACUUCCUAUACAAUAUUCCAGAAAAUGGAAGUACGGAUGUUAAUAUCUUGGAACACUAUGAUAUCUGGUUUUGCUGAAACAGGGGAUUCAGAGGCUUCUCUAAUGUUAUUCUGCCAGAUGUGCCACAAAGAAGUGCAGUUUGACUUAGUAACUCUGAUUGGUGUUAUUAGCAGUCUUUCAGUGUCCGAGGAUGCCAUAGUUGGAGAAUCAGUUCAUUCUCUGGCAAUCAAAAGUGGAUGUAAUUCAGAUGUUUCUCUUACAAAUGCCCUCAUUACCAUGUACACCAACUGUGGUGUUGUUGAAGCAGGUCAGCAACUUGUUGACAGUUGUUUUGCGAAUACAAUCACUUACAAUGCCCUGAUGAGUGGAUAUCACAAAAACAACUUAUCUGAAAAGAUAUUGCCUUUGUUUUACCAAAUGGUCAAGAAUGAUGUGAAACCAAAUCUUGUAACGUUACUGAAUUUAUUGCCUGUUUGUCAGAGCCAGUUGCAAGGGAAGUCUAUACACGGGUAUGCAGUACGAAAUUUCACCAGGCUGGAAACAGCCCUCGCCACAUCAGCAAUGGGUAUGUAUAGUAGGUUCAACAAUAUAGAAUACUGCAGCAAAAUUUUCAGUUUGGUUGGUGAAAGAAACAUUAUAUUAUGGAAUGCCUUCUUAUCUUCAUGUGCCCAAUGCAAGCAGGCUGAUAUGCUAGUUCAUAUCUUCAAGCAUAUGCUCUUCCUUAAUGUCAAACCUGAUGCAGUAACCAUGCUGUCACUCAUCUCAGCAUGUUCACAGCUUGGAGAUGCAGAUUUUGCUGCAUGUGUUAUGGCUCUCAUUCUUCAGAGGGGUUUUAGCGCAAAGGAUUUGGUUCUCAAUGCUCUUAUUGACAUGCAUUCAAGAUGUGGAAGCAUAUCGUUUGCAAGGGAGCUCUUUGAUAACUCAGUGGAGAAAGAUUCAGUCACUUGGGGUGCAAUGAUCAACGCAUACUGUAUGCAUGGGAAUGGUGAGGCUGCCCUUAAUCUUUUCUCGAUGAUGAUCAGUUCAGGAGUGGAUCCAGAUGACAUAACUUUUGUUAGUAUCUUGUCGGCCUGCAGUCAUAGCGGCUUUGUAGAGCAAGGAAGAAGAUUGUUUAAAUCACUACAGGCAGACUAUGGCAUUACACCACGAAUGGAACAUUAUGCAUGCAUGGUGGAUCUAUUGGGCCGAAUGGGCCACUUGGAUGAAGCAUAUGAUAUUGUUAGGUCAAUGCCAUUCAGGCCAUCAGAUAAUUUGCUUGAAUCAUUGCUUGGAGCAUGCAGAUUCCAUGGUAAUUCUAAAAUUGGCGAGUCUGUAGGGAAAUUGCUCAUUGAAUCUGAGCAUGGCAAGUCAAGAUCUUAUGUCAUGCUCUCGAAUAUCUAUGCUUCAGCUGGCAAAUGGAGUGACUGUGAGCAACUGAGAUCAGACAUGGAAGCAAAAGGAUUGCGAAAAGAUGUGGGGGUUAGCUUAAUUGGGAUGACAUAGUAGCCCUUAUGAAACAAAGGCAGUCGCCAGGCACUUAUUUUUGUUUGUGGACAAGAAACAUUCCUUCAUUCUUACACGGCUUAAUAUUUUGGAGUGGCUGAUUAUUGCACAAAUCAAAAUGUUCCCGCCUGUGUGCAAAACAAGGAACACUGCAUUUAGAAUCUACUAUUACAGUUUCCAAAGAAGAUUGCGGGGCAUGUAAAUGAUGGUGCACAGACUGGCUCAAGGAGAUCCAGUCAUAUCCAAAUCGGAUAUCAGUUACAUGAGCACAGCAAUAUAUGCGGAGAAUUGAGCAGACAAUUGAAGAUUUUAUAGUGCAGACACGUGCAAUUCUGGAAUACCUUUACUGUCCAGUAGGCAGGUGAACUCUCAGUUUGAUGCACAAUCUUCUUUACAAUUUCCAACUAUCAUGAGGGUAUAUGUGAAAUUGUGAAUAUUGCCAAUACAGCUGUUCCUGCUUCAUGGUGGCACACAAUUUGUUUAGGCUAUCCAGCUUGUGCCAAUAGCACCAAUAUAAAAAAGCAACUAUAAAGAAUAAACUACAGAAGUAAAUCAAAACAAGUAUUAGAUUAGGGAACGAGUCCAGGUCUUCUCCUGUAGUUAUUUGUAUGGAUAUUCCCACCUCCAAAAUGGAUCUCCACCGCUUCAAGUCUCUUCCCUUCCUCCAGUUUUCUUCCUGAAACAUCAUGCAUACAUUGCCCAAAAUCCCUUGUCCUACCUUUAGUAUUCUCCUGCGAUAAAAACGUACACGUAAGAGUGUCUUGAGUAAGGUACGGAUUCUGCUUUUGUAUUUAUAUUUUGAUUUAUUUCGAUUCAUGUAGUAUUUUGUAUACUUUCCUUUCAUGUGUUGUUUAAGAUGGCCUUCACUUAUUGAUUGUUCUCAGUAUUUGUUUCAUAAAUUCUUGAGUUCUUUUGUGAUGUUCUUUUGCUUCUUGUGUUUGAUAUGGGAUAUGCUUGCACGUCAUGACAAAAAUUACUGUGGGGGUAUUCAUAUGUUCUCAGUAAUCGGAUACUUAUUUCUGAGCCAUGAUAAUUAGGUCAAAGGAGCUUUGUCCUGACUAAUAAUUGGGUCAAUUCUUUGUGGCUUAUAAAGAUGAUUAUGCACCAUGGACCUAGUUUUUAUCAAGUUCUGAAUUCGGAUCAUUCCUGAAUGUUCUUUUUUGAGCUACUUCAUAGAUGAAUGAUACUAUUCAGUAAUACAGUACUAUAAUUUAGGAUUUGCAUCAAUUUGAUCAAUAAUUUGAUAUUUCAUAUUUACAAUGAUGAAAUACAAGCUUCUUGUUGUGUACAUAUCUAUUAUUUUUUUUGGUAAAAUCAAUUGUAACUCUGGUAGGC